UAUAAAGUUGAUUUACUCAUAAACUUUAAAAUAUGUGAGUUAAGGGAUAUUUUUCGAUAAAUUCAAGUCCCGUUUGUCGCUAGUAAUUAUAAAGCGAAGUCUUAUCAGACUAAUUGAUUGAACUUUAUUUUUCGAAUAAUCCCAUUGUCAGGAAUACGCUUCCUAUAUUUGUAAAUUUACUAAAUUUCAGGCGGACUAUCAAUCAUUUAGAUUGCCUCCCAACUCAAC
rnacentral:sRNA from 21 species